GAGUGAGACAUGGUCUCAAAAAAUAUGUAGACAGUAUUCACUAUCAGAUAGCAUAUUCAGGAAGAGGAUAAAUAUGCUGUAAAUAUAUAUCUAUAAACCAAUUUGGAAGUUUAAAAGUAUUUUAAUUUAAUUUCUGGUUAUAUAAUUUCUAAAUUAGAUUAACAAUUGAAAGCAAAAAAAAACCCAAAAUUUUUAUUAAUAAUGAUUUUUUUUUUAGGUAUGAAUAGCAGUGAUGAAUUGUGUGAGAGUGUUUCAGUACAUCCGCUCCAGAUGACUGGAUUGACUGAUAUUGCAGACAUUAUUGAUGACCUUAUAAUUAAAGACGGAGUUUCCAGUGAAGAACUUGGCUUAACAGAACAAGCUAUGGGCACCUCCAGGUAAUCAUUGAAUAAUUCAUUUUUAACCUGUUUA
rnacentral:lncRNA from 1 species